GUAAGUAUAGCUCAGUGGUAGCGUAUGUGCUUAGCAUGCACAAGGUCCUGGGUUCAAGCCCCAGUUCAACCA
rnacentral:tRNA from 1 species